AAUUAUUUAUAGCAGUGUUUCCUUCCAAGUGAAUGCUAUAAACGCAGAAAUCGAUGGUGGCAACAUACUUCCAACUACAUCGUCCUCACAGCCAUCGUCGACCAUACUUCCGCAAGGACAAGGAUUAGGUGUCACACAAAACAAGGGGGCUGCCUUCAUCCGCGAGCCGUCGCUGACACCAGAGAGUCACAAAGUUUCGUCUAGCGCCAAGACAGCCACACAUCAGGGAGCCAAUCUGCUGCUAGGAACAGAAAUUAUCACUUCUCCGCCUAACGUGCAGACGCCAUCAGGAGCUGCUUACAGUGUGCUAGAUGGGUCUACAAACAAGACUCAUAAAGGUGUUACUGGAAAAAGGUAUCGCACAUCGCCUUCCAAGAAGGUUGUCAAGAAACUUUUUAGAGAUGAUGGCACAGGAGAUGACGAUGCUGCUGGUUCCGCAGACGUUGAUGCUGAGUAACG
rnacentral:misc_RNA from 1 species